CCUACGGGGGGCAGCAGUGAGGAAUAUUGGUCAAUGGACGAGAGUCUGAACCAGCCAAGUAGCGUGAAGGAUGACUGCCCUAUGGGUUGUAAACUUCUUUUAUAUGGGAAUAAAAUGUUCCACGUGUGGGAUUUUGUAUGUACCAUAUGAAUAAGGCUCGGCUAACUCCGUGCCAGCAGCCGCGGUAAUACGGAGGAUCCGAGCGUUAUCCGGAUUUAUUGGGUUUAAAGGGAGCGUAGGUGGAUUGUUAAGUCAGUUGUGAAAGUUUGCGGCUCAACCGUAAAAUUGCAGUUGAAACUGGCAGUCUUGAGUACAGUAGAGGUGGGCGGAAUUCGUGGUGUAGCGGUGAAAUGCUUAGAUAUCACGAAGAACUCCGAUUGCGAAGGCAGUUCACUGGACUGCAACUGACACUGAGGCUCGAAAGUGUGGGUAUCAAACAGGAUUAGAUACCCCAGUAGUC
rnacentral:rRNA from 1 species